rfam:Bacillus cereus subsp. cytotoxis NVH 391-98, complete genome.
UUGCUAGUGAAAGACAAGCUUAGGUAAGAGCCAAAUCGCCUAGUAGCCGACAGGCAACUGGUGGAGAAAUUCUAAGGUGGAAUCCUUGUAAAAAAGUAACGGCUCCGUUUCCGUCUUUCUAGUCUACUUUA